AAUACUAUCGUGCCAGUUGGUACCCCCAGUGACAACGAGUAUGCAUUUGCUGGGGUGUUGAAAAGGGAAUCUGGUGAAAAUCCAGAACUGACGCGCAGCGGUAAAUAGAAGACAAGAUCUCAAGAGACACUGCACCAGAUGUGGGAAGUCGAGGUUUUGGCGGUUAUCUCAGGGUAAUCAUAUUCUUAAGUCCGAAGACCUGCCAGCAACCGGGAGAAAACA
rnacentral:ncRNA from 1 species